UGGAAAUGAUGAAAUAGAGAUAAUUGGGUGUUGAAUGUUGUGUGAUUGGAAAUUUUAUUAUAUAUAUAAUAAUUCUAACUUUACUAUUUUAUAGAACUUUAAAUAGAGUGGGGUGUGUGUGUGUGUGUGUGUGGUGGCUAUGGAAAGGGGGCACUGACUGGUGCUGCUGAUAUUGGAGUGCAUCUGAGGCUGUUGUAGAAAUAACGUGGGUUUUUGACUACAACAUUGCCUAUGAUUAUAGCCCCAAAACAGCUCACCUAACUAGCCCAGCACCCUAAAAUCUCUAACAGGUUCAUUAAACAUGGUCCUGUGAUCUGAUCUGA
rnacentral:snoRNA from 12 species